CGCGGAGUGGAGCAGGUUGGUAGCUCGCGAGGCUCAUAACCUCGAGGUCACGGGUUCAAAUCCCGUCUCCGCAA
rnacentral:tRNA from 4 species